rnacentral:rRNA from 1 species
UACGUAGGGUGCAAGCGUUGUCCGGAAUUAUUGGGCGUAAAGCGUGCGUAGACGGUUAUUUAAGUCAGGUGUGAAAGCCCCGGGCUCAACCUGGGAAUUGCAUUUGAGACUGAAUAGCUAGGGUGCGGAAGAGGGAAGCGGAAUUUCCGGUGUAGCGGUGAAAUGCGUAGAUAUCGGAAGGAACACCAGUGGCGAAAGCGGCUUCCUGGUCCAGCACCGACGUUCAGGCACGAAAGCGUGGGGAGCAAACAGG